rnacentral:tRNA from 1 species
GCCCUCGUAGCUCAGUCGGUAGAGCAGUUGACUCUUAAUCAAUUGGUCGACGGUUCGAAUCCGCCCGAGGGCACCA